GCACUCUUGUUUCUCUUCAGAUUGUAUAAAUCUUUCGCCUUUUACUAAAGAUUUCCUGUGGGGAGGAACAACAAGAGUUUGAUUCAAUUUUUUGAUGCCCUGCAGUAGUAGGGCC